CAGCCGCCGCGGUAAUACGUAGGGGGCGAGCGUUGUCCGGACUUAUUGGGCGUAAAGCGCGCGCAGGCGGUCCUUUAAGUCUGAUGUGAAAGCCCACGGCUCAACCGUGGAGGGUCAUUGGAAACUGGGGGACUUGAGUGCAGGAGAGGAGAGCGGAAUUCCACGUGUAGCGGUGAAAUGCGUAGAGAUGUGGAGGAACACCAGUGGCGAAGGCGGCUCUCUGGCCUGUAACUGACGCUGAGGCGCGAAAGCGUGGGGAGCAAACAGUAUUAGAUACCCUGGUAGUCCACGCCGUAAACGAUGAGUGCUAAGUGUUAGAGGGGUCACACCCUUUAGUGCUGCAGCUAACGCGAUAAGCACUCCGCCUGGGGAGUACGGCCGCAAGGCUGAAACUUAAAGGAAUUGGCGGG
rnacentral:rRNA from 1 species